GCUCUGUUAGCUCAGCUGGUUAGAGCGUCGUACUAAUACCGAGAUUCGUCUCUGUAUUGAGUAAAUGCGAAGGUCAACAGUUCAAUCCUGUUACGGAGCA